rnacentral:rRNA from 1 species
AGUGAACGCUGGCGAUAGGCCUAACACAUGCAAGUCGAACGGCAGCACAGUAAGAGCUUGCUCUUACGGGUGGCGAGUGGCGGACGGGUGAGGAAUACAUCGGAAUCUACUUUUUCGUGGGGGAUAACGUAGGGAAACUUACGCUAAUACCGCAUACGACCUACGGGUGAAAGCAGGGGAUCUUCGGACCUUGCGCGAUUGAAUGAGCCGAUGUCGGAUUAGCUAGUUGGCGGGGUAAAGGCCCACCAAGGCGACGAUCCGUAGCUGGUCUGAGAGGAUGAUCAGCCACACUGGAACUGAGACACGGUCCAGACUCCUACGGGAGGCAGCAGUGGGGACUAUUGGACAAUGGGCGCAAGCCUGAUCCAGCCAUACCGCGUGGGUGAAGAAGGCCUUCGGGUUGUAAAGCCCUUUUGUUGGGAAAGAAAAGCAGCAGGUUAAUACCCCGCUGUUCUGACGGUACCCAAAGAAUAAGCACCGGCUAACUUCGUG